rnacentral:lncRNA from 1 species
GUCAUUGUGGAUAGGAAAAGAAAGGAAGUAGGUCCCUACCUCCUGCUUCAUUUUCUCGACUAAUCAAAAUAUAUUUGAGAUAAAUUAUUAUUAUUAAUAUUUUUUAUUCUCGAUUUUUACCUAUCAUUCUAUUUGAAUGGAUUAAAAUUGAAGCUCUAUCGAUCUGAAUCCAUUUGCGUCCCUAAUUGUGAAGGAAAGGGAAGAGAAGAGUUGGUUUGCUC